AGCCGCGGUAAUUCCAGCUCCAAUAGCGUAUAUUAAAGUUGUUGCAGUUAAAAAGCUCGUAGUUGAAUUUCGGGGUUAGUAGGUUGGUCAUGCCUCUGGUAUGUACUGGUCUCACUGAUUCCUCCUUCCUGAUGAACCUUAAUGCCAUUUAUUUGGUGUUUUGGGGAAUUUGGACUGUUACUUUGAAAAAAUUAGAGUGUUUAAAGCAAGCUAACGCUUGAAUACAUUAGCAUGGAAUAAUGAAAUAGGACGUUCGAUCCUAUUUUGUUGGUUUCUAGGAUUGACGUAAUGAUUAAUAGGGAUAGUUGGGGGCAUUAGUAUUCAAUUGUCAGAGGUGAAAUUCUUGGAUUUAUUGAAGACUAACUACUGCGAAAGCAUUUGCCAAGGAUGUUUUCAUUAAUCAAGAACGAAAGUUAGGGGAUCGAAGACGAUCAGAUACCGUCGUAGUCUUAACCAUAAACUAUGCCGACUAGGGAUCGGAUGAUGUUAAUUUUUUAAUGACUCAUUCGGCGCCUUACG
rnacentral:misc_RNA from 1 species